UACGUAGGGUGCGAGCGUUGUCCGGAAUUAUUGGGCGUAAAGAGCUCGUAGGCGGCUUGUCGCGUCGGUUGUGAAAGCCCGGGGCUUAACUCCGGGUCUGCAGUCGAUACGGGCAGGCUAGAGUGUGGUAGGGGAGAUCGGAAUUCCUGGUGUAGCGGUGAAAUGCGCAGAUAUCAGGAGGAACACCAGUGGCGAAGGCGGCGAUCUGGGAAGAUACUGACGCUGAGGUGCGAAAGCGUGGGGAGCAAACAGG
rnacentral:rRNA from 1 species